rnacentral:siRNA from 1 species
CAUGUUGUGGUUUCAGACCUAUG